GUGCUUAACACAUGCAAGUCGAACGGAAAGGCCCUUCGGGGUACUCGAGUGGCGAACGGGUGAGUAACACGUGGGUGAUCUGCCCUGCACUUUGGGAUAAGCCUGGGAAACUGGGUCUAAUACCGAAUAUGACCAUGCACUUCCUGGUGUGUGGUGGAAAGCUUUUGCGGUGUGGGAUGGGCCCGCGGCCUAUCAGCUUGUUGGUGGGGUAAUGGCCUACCAAGGCGACGACGGGUAGCCGGCCUGAGAGGGUGACCGGCCACACUGGGACUGAGAUACGGCCCAGACUCCUACGGGAGGCAGCAGUGGGGAAUAUUGCACAAUGGGCGCAAGCCUGAUGCAGCGACGCCGCGUGAGGGAUGACGGCCUUCGGGUUGUAAACCUCUUUCAAUAGGGACGAAGCGCAAGUGACGGUACCUAUAGAAGAAGGACCGGCCAACUACGUGCCAGCAGCCGCGGUAAUACGUAGGGUCCGAGCGUUGUCCGGAAUUACUGGGCGUAAAGAGCUCGUAGGUGGUUUGUCGCGUUGUUCGUGAAAUC
rnacentral:rRNA from 1 species